rnacentral:rRNA from 1 species
UACGGAGGGUGCGAGCGUUGUUCGGAAUCACUGGGCGUAAAGCGCGUGUAGGCGGCCCACUAAGUCUGAUGUGAAAGCCCGGGGCUCACCCCCGGAAGUGCAUUGGAAACUGGUGGACUCGAGUCCCGGAGAGGAGAGUGGAAUUCCUGGUGUAGCGGUGAAAUGCGUAGAUAUCAGGAGGAACACCGGUGGCGAAGGCGGCUCUCUGGACGGUGACUGACGCUGAGACGCGAAAGCGUGGGGAGCAAACGGG